UACGGAGGGUGCAAGCGUUAUCCGGAUUUACUGGGUUUAAAGGGUGCGUAGGUGGGUAGGUAAGUCAGUGGUGAAAUCUUCGAGCUUAACUCGGAAACUGCCAUUGAUACUAUCAGUCUUGAAUACCGUGGAGGUCGGCGGAAUAUGUCAUGUAGCGGUGAAAUGCUUAGAUAUGACAUAGAACACCAAUUGCGAAGGCAGCUGACUACGCGAGUAUUGACACUGAGGCACGAAAGCGUGGGGAUCAAACAGG
rnacentral:rRNA from 1 species